GUGGCUUCGGACUAGAAACCCAGAAAGGGUAGAGGAAAAGACUGCACGGAAGGGUAGCCCGAAGGCGGGCGACAGAGGUGGCUUUCUGGCUGGGGAUUCUGGGUGCUCCCCCAAGGCAGACAGUGGGGAAGAGGAGAAGGGUAGACCACAUACUCCAUGGUGACCACGUCCGAUCCCAGCAGCCUGCAGGGCAGCAUCCAGGCGACGCACAGAAAAGCACUGCUGAGGAUGAACCAAGGUUCCUUUUGCCCGAGGCCAGUUACAGCUGCAGAGAUGGUGGCUAGGUUACAAGAAGUUCUAGAGUGCACUGGGGCUGAGCCUGGGGCUGCACAAGGUCUCUGGAAGUGAAGCUGCAUGAACCACGGUUCCGAGUAAGGAGAUCCGUCCCAAGGAGUUGGCUCACAUGGUCGCGGAGAAAUCCCACCAUCUGUUGCAAGCUGCAGACCCAAGAAAGCCUGUGGUGUGGCUCCCGGCCCGCUCCGGUGGCUCAGGAACCAGGACCUGGAUGGUGUAAGUUCCCGUCCAAGGAAUGGGAGCAGGCUGUCGCCCUACUCAUCUACAGAUGCGGAUGCGAAUCUCACCCCAAAUAUCCAGGCAGCCGUAGCCAAUCAAGGUGAGGCGUGUAACUAAGCAUCGCAGAAGGGCUCCCUUUGGAAAUAGCCUCUGGGAGGACAGUGGGCUGGGGAGAGAUAGGCGAAAGCCUCUUAGGGGAGACAAAGUACUUCUGAGGUGUUUGACUAGCACCGCCAUUAUCAGACACCUCAUGUGGGGUGGUGUAAACAUCAUAAAUCAGCCAGGCGUGGUGGCGCACGCCUGUCAUCCCAGCACUCAGGAGGCUGAGGCAGGAGGAUCGUUGUGAGUUCGAGACCGGCCUGGGCUACAUAGUGAGUUCCAGGUCAGUCUCAACUACAUAGUGAGACCCUGUCUCAAAAAAACCAAAAAAACAAAUCUAUUUUCUCCAGGUCCUCAGGCUGCAAGUCCCAGACCCAGGUACCGGCAAGUUCAGUUUCUGCUGAAGGCUUCCCUCUUGGUGUGUGGGUGGCCACCCUCUGGCUAUGCUGUCACCCGGCCUGUCCUCAUCACACAUGCUGAGGUGACACAGAAGGCGGAGGCCUGCAGAGCACUCCCUGGUAUCUUUUCCUCUGCUUACAAGGUCACUAAUUUUAUGGGGUGGGAGGCUCAGCCUUAUGACUUUAUCUAACCUUGCCGGCUGGGGGUUAGGGCUUCAGAGUGUGAAUUGUGCACCCA
rnacentral:lncRNA from 1 species